GCCAAUCCAAGCCGCAAGCGAAGUGUAGGGUAUUGUUUGCUUUGGUCGCCGCACGUGGUUUUGAAUUGAGUGUUCAUGUUGUGUGGUGUCCUGUAUUUCACACGUUUCAUUCACACAAUUUUCUAUUUGCGUAACUACGUGCAACAUCCACAUUUUGGUGAAGUGGCCAGGCGUGAAUAUGCUGGACGUUUAUCCCGUCGACAGCCUGCAAGAUAUCGAAUUAGGUUUAAGUAUUUCGUAUGUCCCGGCCGUCCCGGCAAACGUGGACAUCGCUAAGGGGAAGACAUUCCUCAUACGGUGCAGCAAGAAUGCAGAGCCCUCUGAAGCCUUCUUCGUUGCUGCGGGCCUCAGGGUGCACACUGUACACAUUGUGCAGAGCACAACCGGAAAAUAGAGGAGCUUGAGCAUGCAAAUGCCCGCCUGACAAAGAAGCUUCGCAAAGCCAAAGAGAAGUGUGUCAUGACCAACAUGGUGGAUCAAAUGGAAAAUCUAAUCCAGACUGCCUCCAGCCAGAACGCUGCUGCUGUUACAGCAGCUCCAAUGCUGGACAUCGGCUUAGGUGUUUGUGUGGACGCUGGUGUUCUGCACAGAAUAGAGAGAAGUAGCAAAGGGGAUCGGACAAGGUACGACUGCAUAAGCAUAGCUAUCUCUCUUUAAUUUGCAGGCUGGCCCGUGCCCUCAUUUGGGCAGUGUUUUCUCCUCAGGAGAUGAUUGGGCGAACUUCAUAUGGGAUACCAUGCAACGCCCACUAAGGUGUUGCGCUGAAACCUGCAGUGGAUGAGACACGGCAUGAAGCAGUUCUGGGUAAGGACCCCUUUCUGUCUUCAUUACUGCAGGUCCAUUGGCUUUUGAUUUGGCCAAACUCUGGCUUUGUCUACAUGAAGUAGCUGGUUACUGCUUAAUCAGUUAAUUGUACUCCUGCAGU